rnacentral:rRNA from 1 species
CGUCAAAUCAGCACGGCCCUUAUGUUCGGGGCUACACACGUGCUACAAUGGCAUGUACAGAGGGCAGCCACUAUGUGAAUAGGCGCAAAUCCUCAAAGCAUGUCUCAGUUCGGAUUGGAGUCUGUAACUCGACUCUAUGAAGUUGGAUUCGCUAGUAAUCGCGCAUCAGCCAUGGCGCGGUGAAUACGUUCCCGGGCCUU